AGAGUUUGAUCCUGGCUCAGGAUGAACGCUAGCGGCAAGCCUAACACAUGCAAGUCGAACGGUAACUUUUGGUGCUUGCACCGAAAGACGAGUGGCGAACGGGUGCGUAACGUGUAUGCAAUCUGCCUUUUACUAGGGUAUAGCCCAGAGAAAUUUGGAUUAAUCCCCUAUAAUAUCAUUUUUCCGCAUGUUUAAAUGAUUAAAGUUUCGGCGGUAAAAGAUGAGCAUGCAUCCUAUUAGUUUGUAGGUGAGGUAACGGCUCACCUAGACUACGAUAGGUAGGGGCCCUGAGAGGGGGACCCCCCACACUGGUACUGAGACACGGACCAGACUCCUACGGGAGGCAGCAGUGAGGAAUAUUGGACAAUGGACGAAAGUCUGAUCCAGCUAUGCCGCGUGCAGGAUGAAGGCCCUACGGGUUGUAAACUGCUUUUAUACAGGAAGAAACUCCCCGACGUGUCGGGGCUUGACGGUACUGUAAGAAUAAGGAUCGGCUAACUCCGUGCCAGCAGCCGCGGUAAUACGGAGGAUUCGAGCGUUAUCCGGAAUCAUUGGGUUUAAAGGGUCCGCAGGCGGUUUUUUAAGUCAGAGGUGAAAUCCUGCAGCUUAACUGUAGAAUUGCCUUUGAUACUGAAAGACUUGAGUUAUUGUGAAGUGGUUAGAAUGUGUGGUGUAGCGGUGAAAUGCAUAGAUAUCACACAGAAUACCGAUUGCGAAGGCAGAUCACUAACAAUAUACUGACGCUCAGGGACGAAAGCGUGGGUAGCGAACAGGAUUAGAUACCCUGGUAGUCCACGCCGUAAACGAUGGAUACUAGCUGUAUGUCUACUUCAGGUAGAUGUGUGGCCAAGCGAAAGUGAUAAGUAUCCCACCUGGGGAGUACGAUCGCAAGAUUGAAACUCAAAGGAAUUGACGGGGGCCCGCACAAGCGGUGGAGCAUGUGGUUUAAUUCGAUGAUACGCGAGGAACCUUACCAGGGCUUAAAUGUAAUGGGACAGAUUCAGAGAUGGAUUUUUCUUCGGACUCAUUACAAGGUGCUGCAUGGUUGUCGUCAGCUCGUGCCGUGAGGUGUCAGGUUAAGUCCUAUAACGAGCGCA
rnacentral:rRNA from 1 species